UGUUUCUUUGUUUCUUUUUGUAAUGGCUUAAAGUAAAAGCCGAGGUGCCCCAGGCCUGGAACUAUUCAAAACUGAUCAAAAUACAGAUGCACCUUUAGAUGGAAGCUGCUAUUCAAUAUCUGAGAGUGAAUGUUAAAUAAAAGUUUCCACAAUUAAGUCAACAAGCUGGGAAAUAAAGCAAGCUCGUCUUCCCACAAAGGAUGAAAAUGAUGAUUUGCUGUCUUUGAAAUUCAUUUGAAUAGCGCCAUUUUCAACUUCACUGUAUGAAUUACCCUUCUAAGUCUGCGAAAACUUUGAAUGUUCCCUUGUUCAUGAAUUUUCUUCCUUUGAUUACUUUUCCCUGUAAGCUCUUUGGGGUCAUAUACACAUUUUCUUCUGUAUUUCCGCAGGGUGUAAUAAAACAGCAGUUUUAUCUCCA